UGGGGAAUCUUGCGCAAUGCGCGAAAGCGUGACGCAGCAACGCCGCGUGAGGGAAGACGGCCUUCGGGUUGUAAACCUCUUUCAGUUGGGACGAAGCCUCUGCGGUUAAUACCCGUACGAGGUGACGGUACCUUCACAAGAAGCCCCGGCUAACUACGUGCCAGCAGCCGCGGUAAUACGUAGGGGGCAAGCGUUGUCCGGAAUUAUUGGGCGUAAAGAGUGUGUAGGCGGCUUGGUAAGUCCGCUCUGAAAGCCAGGGGCUCAACCCCUGGAGGCGGGUGGAUACUGUCAAGCUUGAGUCCGGAAGAGGCGAGUGGAAUUCCCGGUGUAGCGGUGAAAUGCGCAGAUAUCGGGAGGAACACCUAUUGCGAAGGCAGCUCGCUGGGACGUGACUGACGCUGAGACACGAAAGCGUGGGGAGCAAACAGG
rnacentral:rRNA from 1 species